CCUACGGGAGGCAGCAGUGAGGAAUAUUGGUCAAUGGGCGCAAGCCUGAACCAGCCAAGUCGCGUGAGGGAUGAAGGUCCUAUGGAUUGUAAACCUCUUUUGUCGGGGAGCAAGGCCCGCCACGUGUGGCGGGAAGGAGAGUACCCGAAGAAAAAGCAUCGGCUAACUCCGUGCCAGCAGCCGCGGUAAUACGGAGGAUGCGAGCGUUAUCCGGAUUUAUUGGGUUUAAAGGGUGCGUAGGCGGAAGGUUAAGUCAGCGGUCAAAUGUCGGUGCUCAACACCGGCCUGCCGUUGAAACUGGUCGUCUUGAGUGAGCGAGAAGUAUGCGGAAUGCGUGGUGUAGCGGUGAAAUGCAUAGAUAUCACGCAGAACUCCGAUUGCGAAGGCAGCAUACCGGCGCUCAACUGACGCGGAGGCACGAAAGCGUGGGGAUCGAACAGGAUUAGAUACCCUGGUAGUC
rnacentral:rRNA from 1 species